rnacentral:lncRNA from 1 species
UUUUGUUAGCACUAGUUAAAGCAUGAAACCAAUGCAGUUGUUAUCGAAGAAAAGGCAGGAUACACAGUCCUAUCAGCAGUAGCUCAAUUCUUGCUAGCAUUAGUUACAGUUCGAAAGCAGCAAGGUCCGUUUUCAAUAAUGAAUGAAUUGUAAGGAUCCCAUCUAGGUUGGUGCUCUAGCCUCGAGUUCAAUCUAUUGGGCGGUGUUGGGCUCUGUAUUUACUACUCCUUAUUCCCAGUUUAGAGUUAGGGCAUCGCUCGUUAGCAACUCUGGGGCAUAGGAAUACCACUCAGUCAUAUAAGAAUAAGAAGCACCUUCUCUCCAACACAAGAAGAAAAAGAUUUCGUAGAAGAAAAUGUCCCCGCUCGCUGUUCCAUCUACCACAAAGAAGGCGCUUGCUUUGCUUACUUUAGUGAUUUACCCACUGUCCUCCUAACAUGCAACAUUAGACUAAGCUUGUUCCCGCUACUAUGGAAGAGAGGCAACCCUUUCCAAAUACUUAACUUCACUCUCUAGCGCACCUGCUUGUGGAAUUUCACUGAACGACAAUCAAUAUAAAGAAAGUCACAACGCCCUUAAGUCUAUAAUAUAGAAAAGAAAAUAGUCAACAACACUGCUUUCAAACUAAACUAUUCCCUUCUACCUCAAGUCAACAACACUGUUUUCAUACGAGACUAUUCCCUUGAAGUUCCAAUUAUUCCAAGAAGGGCUUCCUUUAAGAACGACAAGAACUGCUUCCUACAAGCUUAGUUAAGCACGUUAUAGAACAUUGCCUCUCGUCUCCUUUCCUCACACCGUCCCGAGUAGAGCUUAAGUCUCCUUUCC